AAUUUUUAACAAUGUGUUUCAAGAAUCCACCAGCAAGACAAAAGACCCUGACGAAACCCACGUCGACACACAUGACCCCCUCCGCCCCAGGUGAGAAUACGGAGACACAGAAAAGGUAAGUAUUGAAAUGAAGGCUUCACUGAGAUACCCGGACUCCUGUGUGCCCUGCAGCAUUCUUCACAGAGCCAAGAGGUCGAAACAACCUCCACAUCUACUGACAGGCCAAAUGGAUACAGAAAUGCGGCAUAUGCAUGCAAUGGGACGUUAUUCAGCUAUGUAAAAAGAAGGAAACCCUGACACACACAACAACAUGAAUGAACUUUGAAGACAUUAUGCUAAGUGAAGUGAGGCAGUCACGGAAGGACAAAUACUUCGUUAUUCCACUUAAAGCAGGUUAUCCAUGUAGUGGUGGUGACAGAGAGACAGGAGGGAGGAGGGAGGCUGCCAGGAGCUGGGAGGAGAGGGCUCCAGGGAGGUGCUGGUCAAUGGCGGUAAAGUUUUAAUCAUGCAAGAUGAAAAAGUUCUAGGGAUCUGCUAUACUUACAGUGAAUACACUACUGUACACUGAAAAAUCUGUUAAGAUGUUAAUUUGCAUCUUGUUAUAGGUUUCUUACAAUUAAAAAACGAAUAAAUAAAUUGCUCAUAAAAACAGUUAGUAAACAGAACUGAGAUCCAAAUCUAGGCAGCCUGAACUCUUAAUUACCAUAUGGCUCACUAUCAUGCAUAUCAAGACAAUAUGCAAAUACAGGCAUAAAUUUACAUAUUUUCUAUUCAUAUGUUAAAUAGCUUUCAUUUUUUUAUGCUUAUUCAGCAAGAAUACUAGUCACUAAGGCUACAUACAUAAUAAUACAUUUACAAUGAAAAGUUUACUAUUUUUAAUUCUUCCUAUUUACCACACCUACGAAGCGUCUUUUUAUUGUUUUCAUCAACAAACGAAAUAAUUUUUAAAAUCCUACUGUCAGAAAAUGCUGCUUCCCCUGCAGCCAAAGUCAGGAUUUGGUAAAAUUUUUAAAUUAAAUGCUCAGCAUUAGAGUAGACAUAACAAGUAGCAGUGAAUUCCCACAAAGAGACCAGCCCUGUAAGUUGUAAGUUCGCUUAUGAAUUGACAAGGCAAAACCUAGAGUAUGCUGGCAAACUGUUUAAGUGACAUUCAGUUCAACUGAAAGAAAAAAAAAACUUUUAAGGAAACAAUUUUCCUUUUGUAGUUUAUGCAACAUAUGAACUUACUUUCCCCUAUCAGUCCUUUCUUCCAUUUCGGUUUCUCGCUAGGACUUACCGCUUGGCAAACGCUGGCGUUUCUGGUUUGGGUUAUGCCUCCCACAAAGACCACACAAGUCAGGAAAAUGUGGAAGCACAAGUUCACAAGCAUGUGCCAGCCCUUGAGACUGAUCCGAAUCAAACUGUUAAAAGGAAAAGGAAAAUAUUUACAUUCAGGCUAGUAAUUUGGAGCCAGACACUAUCCUACUUGCCUUCAAGUCAACUAUUCCAAUAGCACAAAAUGCCAAAUUUCAAAUGCUUACACAUCUAAAAAAACAAAUACUAUCAGACAGACAGACACACGCACAUUUUGAGAAAGCAUUUAACUCAAUACAGAUUCUUGACGUUUAACUUGACGCACGGAAAAAGACAAGUCAUAUAUGGAACUCCUGCCCCCACUAAAGGCUACAGCAAUUCCCCAUAAUAAGAAACAUGUGAGCUUUUGUUAGUUACGAAGUCUCAUGACAGAUGAAUGACUUGUCUGCUUCCCAGAGAUUUCUGCGAGGUGCCGAUCUCAAUUUCCCUGACCUGCUACUUCCCAGUGCCUUUCUUCGUGGCCUUUCCUAAUAACACGUUGAAGUCUUUCUUUCUUUCUUAUAUUGUAAUAUCAAAAUCUCUUGUUUCUUAACUAAAUGUCAAGAAAUGCCAUACAGGUUCAGCUGCAACCCAUUCUAGGAAAACACAUUCUAGCAAAACCUCUUAUAAA